rnacentral:sRNA from 1 species
CCAUAGACUAACAGAAGAGUCUGCCCACUCACGCCUGUGGCUAGGACCUAUGGAUUUUUGUUGAUUGACUCUAUUUCCGGAGGGCACACCACUUAGUGGGAAUGAGAACCAUUCAGAACUUAAACAAGAACAAAAGAAAAAUUAGGCACAGGAUAAGAGUUUGUUUGUCUUGCAUCUAAACUGGGACUUUGGACUUGAGCUUUGGAAUAACAUGGGAGCUGGCUUCCAUCCUACCCCAACAUAGAAAAAAAAAUGGAACUGCUACCAACUAAAAUGUCUAAAAGCAUGAGCAACAAAUAAAACGAUAAC